GUGCUUGCUUUGGCAGCAUGUUUACUGAAAAAAAAAUGGAAUGAUACAGAGAUAAGCAUUGCCCAUGUGCAAGGAUGACAUGCAAAUUUGUGAAGCAUUCCAUAUUUGC
ensembl:snRNA U6 U6 spliceosomal RNA